rnacentral:rRNA from 1 species
AUUCCAGCUCCAAUAGCGUAUAUUAAAGUUGUUGCAGUUAAAAAGCUCGUAGUUGAACCUUGGACAAAGUGCGCGUGGUCUACCGCAAGGUAUGACUGCGGCGCUGCGUCUCUUUAGGGGGACUCGAUGCUUCGGUGUCGAGGUAACCCGUGUUACUGUGAAGAAAUUAGAGUGUUUAAAGCAGGCUAUCGCUUGAAUACAUCAGCAUGGAAUAACAAGUUGGACUUUGCUCCUACUUGCUGGUUUGAGGGGAAAAGUAAUGAUUAAUAGGGCCAGUUGGGGGCAUUAGUAUUCAGUAGUCAGAGGUGAAAUUCUUGGAUUUACUGAAGACUAACUAGUGCGAAAGCAUUUGCCAAGGAUGUUUUCAUCG